rnacentral:rRNA from 1 species
CCUACGGGAGGCAGCAGUGGGGAAUAUUGCACAAUGGGGGAAACCCUGAUGCAGCGACGCCGCGUGAGUGAAGAAGUAUUUCGGUAUGUAAAGCUCUAUCAGCAGGGAAGAAGAAAGACGGUACCUGACUAAGAAGCCCCGGCUAACUACGUGCCAGCAGCCGCGGUAAUACGUAGGGGGCAAGCGUUAGCCGGAUUUACUGGGUGUAAAGGGUGCGUAGACGGCUGUGCAAGUCUGAAGUGAAAGCCCAGGGCUCAACCCUGGGACUGCUUUGGAAACUGUGGAGCUAGAGUGCUGGAGAGGUAAGUGGAAUUCCUAGUGUAGCGGUGAAAUGCGUAGAUAUUAGGAGGAACACCAGUGGCGAAGGCGACUUACUGGACAGUAACUGACGUUGAGGCUCGAAAGCGUGGGGAGCAAACAGGAUUAGAUACCCGUGUAGUC